rnacentral:rRNA from 1 species
CGGACGGGUGAGUAACACGUGGAUAACCUACCUAUAAGACUGGGAUAACUUCGGGAAACCGGAGCUAAUACCGGAUAAUAUAUUGAACCGCAUGGUUCAAUAGUGAAAGACGGUUUUGCUGUCACUUAUAGAUGGAUCCGCGCCGCAUUAGCUAAUUGGUAAGGUAACGGCUUACCAAGGCAACGAUGCGUAGCCGACCUGAGAGGGUGAUCGGCCACACUGGAACUGAGACACGGUCCAG